GGUGUGUGGUUCAGUGGAAGAGCAUGUACUUAACAUGUGUAAGACCUGGGUUCAAUACCCAGUACCACUA
rnacentral:tRNA from 1 species